rnacentral:rRNA from 1 species
GAUGAACGCUAGCGGCAGGCUUAAUACAUGCAAGUCGUGGGGCAGCAGGGGUAGCAAUACCCGCUGGCGACCGGCAAACGGGUGCGGAACACGUACGCAACCUUCCUUUAACUGGAGAAUAGCCCCUCGAAAGAGGGAUUAAUACUCCGUAACAUAUUGACCCCGCAUGGGGUUAAUAUUAUAGUCUUCGGGCGGUUAAAGAUGGGCGUGCGCCUGAUUAGAUAGUUGGUGAGGUAACGGCUCACCAAGUCUGCGAUCAGUAACUGGUGUGAGAGCACGACCAGUCACACGGGCACUGAGACACGGGCCCGACUCCUACGGGAGGCAGCAGUAAGGAAUAUUGGUCAAUGGACGCAAGUCUGACCCAGCAACGCCGCGUGAAGGACGAAGUCUUUCGGGAUGUAAACUUCGUAAGAAUAGGAAGAAUAGAUGACGGUACUAUUUGUAAGGUCCGGCUAACUACGUGCCAGCAGCCGCGGU